rnacentral:rRNA from 1 species
UUGAUUAAUUACAAUUUUAUUCGCCAGGGAACUACGAGCGUCAGCUUAAAACCCAAAGGACUUGGCGGUGCCCUAUACCUCCUAGAGGAGCCUGUUCUAUAAUCGAUGAUCCACGAUACACCUCACCGUUUCUUGCCAAAACCGCCUAUAUACCGCCGUCUCCAACUUACCCUAUGAAGGAUUUACAGUAAGUUCAAAGAUCACUCAUCAGAACGUCAGGUCAAGGUGUAGCGAAUGAAACGGGAAGAAAUGGGCUACAUUUUCUAUUUUAGAUCACACGGACAAUCAGUAUGAAACCUGAUUAUGAAGGAGGAUUUAGCAGUAAAAAGAAAUCAGCAAGUUCUUUUUAAGUCGGACCUAGGGCGCGUACACACCGCCCGUCACCCUCUUCGACUCAUUUCACCCUAUUUAUAAUAAAAUAAUUGGAGAUAAGAAGAGGCAAGUCGUAACAUGGUAAGUAUACCGGAAGGUGUACUUGGAAC